rnacentral:rRNA from 1 species
AUUGAACGCUGGCGGCAGGCCUAACACAUGCAAGUCGAGCGGAGCGGCGGACGGGUGAGUAAUGCCUAGGAAUCUGCCUGGGAGUGGGGGAUCACGUACGGACACGGGCGCUAAUACCGCAUACUAUCAGAUGAGCCUAGGUCGGAUUAGCUAGGUGGUGGGGUACAGGCCUACCAAGGCGACGAUCCGUAACUGGUCUGAGUGGAUGAUCAGUCACACGUGAACUGAGACACGGUCCAUACUCCUACGGGAGGCAGCAGUGGGGAAUAUUGGACAAGGGGCGAAAGCCUGAUCCAGCCAUGCCGCGUGUGUUAAGAAGGUCUUCGGAUUGUAAAGCACUUUAAGUUGGGAGGCGUUACCAACAGAAUAAGCACCGGCUAACUUCGUGCCAGCAGCCGCGGUAAUUC